rnacentral:lncRNA from 1 species
AGCACGAGAGCAAGGAGCUCAACCCGUGGGGCAUCUACUACGGCACCAACUACGUGGCCACGCACCGCGCCGCCGGCGUCGACUUCGCCACCAUCCACCUCUACCCGGACGUCUGGCUAUGGGGCUCCACCGCCGACGAGCAGGCCGCCUUCUUCCGCAACUGGACGCGCUCCCACGUCCACGACACGGCGGCGUUCCUCGGCAAGCCGCUGCUCGUCACCGAGUACGGCAAGUUCCUCUGGAAGGGCGGCGGCGCCAACAAGACGCAGAGGAACUACUUCCUCGACGUGGUGCUCGACGCCAUCUACGCCUCGGCGUCGCGCGGCGGCCCGCUCGUCGGCGGCGCGUUCUGGCAGCUGCUCCUCGACGACGACGUCGUCGCCGGCAUGGACGACCUCAGGGACGGGUACGAGAUCAUACUCGCCGAGGACAGCCGCGCCGCGAGCAUCAUCGGCGAGCACUCCGAGCAGCUGGCCAGCCUCAACGGCCAGGACGCGGAGGCGCUUCGCCGCCGCCGCCGGCGGCCGGCGAGCUCGCACCGGAAGACGCGUCUUGGCAGCGGCGGCGACAGCGACGCACUCCGACUCCCCCGAACGCUCUUGAUUCGCUUCAUCUCUUUGUCUAGAUCGAUCUCUUCAUUUAUUCAAGACAAUUUUGUUCUUUUCUAGUUUGUAUAUAGCUUGCAUCCUUCUCCUUAGGUAUAGUUGUUCGUUGGCACAUCUUGCAACUGUAACCUGUCGAAAUCAUCAGGAACGCUUCAGGAUGGCUGUUCUGACGAUGUAUGUUUUGUACCAUAGUUUCCUGUAUAAGGUGUUUUGCAACGGUUACUACGAUGGAGUACCAUAUUUGUUUAUACUACCAUUCUUAAUUAUUGACAGUAGAAUUUUCUUUACUGUUUGUAAUUGUUAAAUUAUAGUGUUGAUAGUGGAAUACAGUAGAGACCACCGCAAGAUGGAAUGCUAGCUUUCUGAAAAGAAAUUUUGUACUACAGAACUGCAGGUCCCUGCUUCCAAUACUGUUGGCCAGUUGAAGUCGACAUUUCAACCUAACACAACGCUUAUUAAUCAGCGUAUCCCUGACUGUUUUGGAGGUUAACAGUGGAACAUCACUUGGAAAAAGGCCCACUCAGAUUUAUGAGUUACAGUAGAAAAAACAAAUUUUAUUUGCCAGACAUCCUUCUCCAUCUCUAUACUUGAAAAAACGGGAGGACUACACAUUGAGUGCUGCAACAAUGACUUAACAUGUGGAUGCUUUCCUGCAUAACUGCUGAGGGAAAAGAAAAGCAUCAAAGCAUCCUAUUGGAAUCAAAUUAUUUACAGCAUUUUAAAGCUAAUUACGUGCCUGUCUACUUGUUGAGCGCUCUGCAAGUCUUCAGCCGUACGUGGUCAAUUAACAAGGUAAGAUUUUCUGCUCUACGGGGGGCUGCAACGAUUGGGUGAUUUUCCUUAAUCUUCUUCAUUUUUUAACUUCCGGUGACACAAGCACAAGAGACAUGCCGUGGGAAGGGAAGCAAGUAGCAAACUGAUCCAAAGGCCAUACAUUUAUACCCAAAUUAUUCAAUGCAGGAGCAACGGAUCAAGGAAUCCCAAAUCACUCAGAUUGCAACGCCGCCUCACCAAGUCGGCGGCGACCCAGAUGGAUCCCGGCGAAGCCACGACGCGGCGGUUGGCGGAGACGAUGAGGCGCCCAUGCCGAGCCGAGCGCGAGCGGUGGACGCGGUCGGCCUGCAUUUUGCUUGGGCAGUGGCGGUGGGCCGGUGACCCAUUAACAGGUCAUGUCGGGCCUAGUAUGUAUGGGCCAAAGCUUCCGCCCAUUAACGUGUUGGACCGUUGACGGUUGGUGUUAGAGGGGUGCAUCCGGAUGAAAGGGUUAGAAUCUUCUCCCCACGCGCAAAGUGAGUCAUUAAUUAAUUAAAUUUUAAAAUAUAUUAAUAUGAACUUUUAAAGAAACUUUUGUAUAGAAAAAUUUCGCAAAAAGUGUAAGGAAUCUGAAGAUGGGAACUUGUAGUUCAGAACGCAGUCGAAAAAAGAUUCAAUAAGAUUUAAUCUAUCCAUGUUUAUCGGUCCAUGGUGCAAGUUUAGAGUUUGGGGCAAUUUGCUUAUUUGACGCUGUUCGGAAGCAUAACUUCUAAUUUGUCCUCACUUUUUCAAAUUUGCUUAUUUGACCCAUUUCUCAAAAUGAAAGAUCAAGACUAAACCUGUUAUGUGAAAACAAGAUAACGGUGCUAAGAACCAAAUUGUCAUAUUUUUUUCUCUUGUUCAUUUGACCAUAAUAUAUAAAAGCUUUUUUUAUUCGAAUCUUUGACAUAAUCUAUUAUAUUAUUAAAGGAAUAGAAAAAGGAGCCUCCAUAUUCGCUCUCAUGGUCUAGAAAUUCUCACAUUAAUCGGAGAAAAAUAAAAGGCAGAGUCCAUAUAGAAAUACAAUUUAGAAAUAACUGAAAUUCGGAAUUAAAAAAUAAGAAUAUUAGAAGAGGAUACUAGAGUCCAUAUAGAGUCCAUAUAGAAAUACAAUUUAAAAAUAGUUGAAAUUCGAAAUUAAAAAAUAAGGAAUAUUAGAAUAGUAGACUAGAGUCCAUAUAGAAAUACAAUUAGGAAAUAACUGAAAUUCAGAAUUAAAAAAUAAGGAAUAUUAGAAGUAGCGUAUAGAGUUCAUAUAGAAGUACAAUUAGGAAAUAACUGAAAUUCAAAAUUAAAAAUAAGGAAUAUUAGAAGUAGAGUGUAGAGUCCAUAUAGAAAUACAAUUAGAAAAUUACUGAAUUCGGAAUUAAAAAUAAGAAAUAUUAGAAGUAGAGUAUAGAGUCCACAUAGAAAUACAAUUAGGAAAUAAUAGAAAUUCAGAAUUAAAAAUAGGAAUAUUAUGAGUAGAGUAUAGAGUCCAUAUAGGAAUUGAAAACUAACUAAAAUUUGGAAUAAACAUAACAAAAUUAAAAGUAAAGUUUAGAGUCCGUAUAAAAAUAAAAUUUACAAAUAACUAAAAUUAGAAAUUAAGAAAAACAUGGGAAGAAGAGUUUAAAGUCAAUAUAGGAAUACAAUUUAGAAGUAACUAAAAUUCGAAAAUUAAAAAUUAAAGAAUAUUGAAAGAUGAGUUUAGAGUCCACAUAGAAAUACAAUUAGAAAUAAUAAAAAUUCAGAAAUAAAAAUAAAUAAUAUUGAAAGAAGAGCAUAGAGUCUAUAUAGAAAUACAAUUUACAGAAAAUUUGGAAUUAAAAAAAGAAAUAUUAAAAGACGAGUCUAGAGUCCAUAUAGAAAUAUAUAUAAUUUACAAAUAACUAAAAUUUGAUAUAAAAAAUAAUUAAUAACUAACACGUAUAUAAAAUACAAUAUGAAUAUUACACAUUAGUAGUUUUGUAAAGUUAUUGCAAAAUUUAAAAUUAUGUUAUCAUUUUAAUAUAUUUGAAUAAUAUAAUGAGAAAACAUAUAUGCUAUUAUAUGAGAAAAUAUAAUGAUGCUAGCCACGCAAUCUGCGCGGGCCACCAUGCUAGUUGUAAUAAAUUUAGCAUAGCUCCGAGAUUUGAGACAAGUUUAAUCGAUUUGGCUUCAAAUUGAUAUAUUUGACAAAUCAAAUUAACAAAAUAUGAUAUAAUUAUCUUUUUCCCAUCCCAAAUUGCAUAUAAUUAAUAAAAUAUAGAUAAAGCAAAACACACAUAGAGCUGAGAGCCAUGCGCCACUGUCGCCCCUACUUCUCACGUGUCGCUGCCGCUGCUGGCGUGACUAUUGAUCCCUUCGUGCGCUGUAGUCUCCGCUGCUACCUCCUUGCCCCUGCCCCCCCUCGGGUGCCACUACCCCUGGCCCCUACUCCCACCAUGCACCGUUGUCGUCGCACCCUCUGCGAGCCCACACCGCUGCUCUCUUCAUGUGUCGUUGUCGCAGCUCUCAUCGCACGCCGCCGCUUUCACCGCCCCGCUACCUCCGCACGUCACCACCCCCACUCCCUCCUCGUGUCGUCACCUCUCCCUCCAUCUCGGCUACUGUCCGCCACGCUAGUCUUUGGAGAUGAAUGGAUGAGAAGAAAUUUAGGGAUAUGAUGUUGUGUACUUAGGGGUAUUUUGUCAAUUUGGCGUAUAAAUAGUUUUUUUAAAUGAAAUCUUAACAGUGUUUGCAAAUAAGGUCAAACGACAACUUCAAUUUUAAAAAAUAUGGUCAAGUGAGUAAACUUAAAAAAAUAGAGACAACGAGGUUUAAAUAAGCAAUUGUCUGUUAAAGUUUCCCUGUCUUUCCCAUUGAUGAAGAUGACAGCGGCAACCAAGCUGCAGUUUGCCGGCUUGCAGCCUCUCGGAUGGCUGAUGGACGGUUGAGAUGAAGGCAUUGUAGGCAAGGGCCAAUCCUGUCCAACCCGGCUCCGACACGUGCCGUUGCCAGUUUGCCACACCUCGUCGAGGCGAAUCCCCCGCCUUUGUGAUUCGAACCGCUUUUUGGGAUCAUUCGAAUCCAAUCCAAUCAAUCGAAUGCUGCAAGAAAAUCCAACGCGCGCCACCGACACACGCGACGACCACCUCUCUACCUCGCCGCAUCCUUCGAUCCCCUCCUCUUUCACUGGUGCCCAGCGCUCGCCCGUCUCCACCCAACUGAACUUGACUUGCGCCGCCGCCGCCGCGGGGAAGCCUCCGAAUAAACUCGCAGCCGCGGGGCCUCUCCGGCGAUGCUCGGGGCUGCCCAGGGAGGAUACUAGGGGCGGAUUUCGAGGGCGACACGGGGGGUGUCGCUUGCUCCGGUCCGAGUCCGACGCUGCUGAGCCAUCCACGGACCUCAACCCUAGGUAUCGCUUUAUCGAAUGAGCGUUCAUUCGCCUCUCCUUUCUCUGUCCCUUUUUUUUUGGGAUCUAGAUGGGGCCAUGGUUUGCUCUGUUUCUGUUUUUUUUUUUUUGGUUCUAAAAAAUUCGUCACGGGCUCAUGGCUAGACGUACGGGGUGUUGUGGUGUAUUUUGGAUAGCCGAACAGCACGAAUUCUCAAUUGGCUAGAUUACGGUUGGAUUCCUGAAUAGCCGACCUGCAAUUUGGGUGGAUUAGGUUUGGUUCCUGGAUAGCCUACCUGGGAUGGGUUAAGCUUAGAUUCUGUGGAAGUAGAAUUUUGGUUGAUUAUCAGGGGCUUAGAGUUGAAUUCAGUGAGGAAUUUUCGUUUUCUUAGAUUUAGGCGUAUUAUGAUUUAGGGAGGUUUCGUGAGGAAUGGGAUUUUUAUUUUGCUGGUUACUGUUUGAUUUCGGUAGGAAUUUGAAGUUGAGGUGAUUGUGGUUGCAAAAGAGAGAGAAUCUGGAUGUGUGCCAUCUUUCUAUUAUUUAGGUCGUUGAUUGCUUAAGUUUCAAUCUAAUGCUAAAUUUAUUGUAUUACCAUUCUAUAACUUUUGUCUAACACCCCUGGUUUAAAAUUUUCAUGUGGAACCUGCUAUGGAUUGGUUGGGAUAUUUUCAUGAGAUCUCUUCAUCAAAGCAUGAUCUGUGCUGUUAUUACAAUAUAAAUGGUGCACGUUGCUCUUGUUUACACUUAUCUGUGAUUUGUUAAUCUUCUGUUAAACAAUUUGCUCCCUAUGUUUGUCCUGCCCUGAAAUCUGGACUUGUUUAGCACAAAUGGUGCAUUUUCUGAGACAUGUGAAUGGCUUUAUCUCUAGGUCUAUGGUUUAAUUUGGCGUAGGUUGAUUUUUGAUUCUAUACUUUUGUUUCCCUAUCAUUUGACGCUUUACACACAAAAAAAAAAACUUCACCGUUAUUGACUGACUGGCAUUGAAUAUGAAGCAUCUAGCUGUAAUAGUUUCUCAGCCAUUAGUAUGGUUACGAGUUGUUAUGCCAUACUGAUUGUAUUUAUCCUUUUUUUCCUGGAGUGGGCAAGGGAAGCUGUUUUUGUUUUUAUUCAUCCUCAGUAAAAAUUUUCAUCUAGAUCAGAUUAUGUUUCCUUUGUUUGCAAGUGAUGUUUAAAAGAGAAAAAAAAAUAACAUGUGGGGGCUAAAUCAGUGAACAAUAUAAAAUUUUUCAUGAAAUGCUGGUGAAAAGCAGAUAAGGUGUGGCUUGAGCAUAGUAAGUUUUGACCUAUAGUGAGGCUGUACAAAUCUUCUGAUGUCAAUCAUCUUGAUAAUGAUAAAUGCAUGAGUUCUUGCGCUUUAGUUCAAAGACCUCCACCCUGGCGCGCUGCCGUGGCGCCUGGCGAUGGCAUGGUGGCCGUGGACGGCACGCAGUUCGUGGUGGACUGCGGCAGGACGAUCUUCUUCAGCGGGUUCAACGCGUACUGGCUGAUGAUGAUGGCGGCCGACCCGGCGCUGCGCGGCGCAGUGGCGACGGCGUUCCAGCAGGCAUCGGCGCACGGGCUCAACCUGGCAAGAACGUGGGCCUUCAGCGACGGCGGCGACCAGCCGCUGCAGUCGUCGCCGGGCGUCUACAACGAGACCAUGUUCCAGGUCAUCCUCGCUUGCUUACCAUCGUCGUCGUCCAAACCAACGCAAAAACUCACUGGUUGUCUUCUCUGUAACGUUUUUCUGGGCAGGGGCUGGACUUUGUGAUCGCCGAAGCAAGGCGGCACGGUAUAUACCUUCUCCUCUGCCUGACCAACAACUUUGACAAUUUUGGAGGCAAGCGGCAGUACGUGCGGUGGGCGGGGGACGCCGGCCACAACCUCACCUCCGACGACGACUUCUUCACCAGCACCAUCGUCAAGUCCUACUUCAAGAACCACGUCAAGGUCAGUAUAUAUGCAAAGCAUAUGCAUCGAUAAUCGAUGUGUUACAUUUCAAUCUCACUCAUUCAUUCAUGCUGCCGUUGCAUCGGCGUCGAUCGAUGCAGACGGUGCUGACGAGGGUGAACACCCUGACGGGCGUGGCGUACAAGGACGACCCCACCAUCUUCGCCUGGGAGCUCAUGAACGAGCCGCGAUGCUACGCCGACCCAACCGGCGCCAUGGUGCAGGCGUGGGUGGAGGAGAUGGCGCCGUACGUGAAGAGCGUCGACGGCCGGCACCUGGUGACACCCGGGCUGGAGGGGUUCUACGGCGCCGGCGAGCACGAGAGCAAGGAGCUCAACCCGUGGGGCAUCUACUACGGCACCAACUACGUCGCCACGCACCGCACCGCCGCCGUCGACUUCGCCACCAUCCACCUCUACCCGGACGUCUGGCUAUGGGGCUCCAGCGCCGACGAGCAGGCCACUUUCUUCCGGAACUGGACGCGCUCCCACAUUGACGCCACGGCGGCGUACCUCGGCAUGCCGCUUCUCGUCACCGAGUACGGCAAGUUCCUCUGGA